rnacentral:rRNA from 1 species
UACGUAGGGUGCAAGCGUUAAUCGGAAUUACUGGGCGUAAAGCGUGCGCAGGCGGUUCGCUAAGACAGAUGUGAAAUCCCCGGGCUUAACCUGGGAACUGCAUUUGUGACUGGCGGGCUAGAGUAUGGCAGAGGGGGGGUAGAAUUCCACGUGUAGCAGUGAAAUGCGUAGAGAUGUGGAGGAAUACCGAUGGCGAAGGCAGCCUCCUGGGCCAACACUGACGCUCAUGCACGAAAGCGUGGGGAGCAAACAGG